UGACGGUAUUCAACCAGAAAGUCACGGCUAACUACGUGCCAGCAGCCGCGGUAAUACGUAGGUGGCAAGCGUUAUCCGGAUUUAUUGGGCGUAAAGAGAGUGCAGGCGGUUUCUUAAGUCUGACGUGAAAGCCUUCGGCUCAACCGAAGAAGUGCAUCGGAAACUGGGAAACUUGAGUACAGAAGAGGGCAGUGGAACUCCAUGUGUAGCGGUGGAAUGCGUAGAUAUAUGGAAGAACACCAGUGGCGAAGGCGGCUGCCUGGUCUGUAACUGACGCUGAGACUCGAAAGCAUGGGUAGCGAACAGGAUUAGAUACCCUG
rnacentral:rRNA from 1 species